AUAGAUUCAACUUGCAAAAACAAUUCUCUUUGUGACAUCAAAACUGAAUUUUCACAAGUUUGCGCUACUAACAUUCAAACAUUUUUAAUAAAUCAAAAAUACAUGAUUUUUACUUGAAAUUUUUAGGAGACCUCCCUGAACUCCUUGAACAGCUACAAAAUAAGUUUUGGCUUAAAAAUCAAAGUUUAAGUAAUUUAAGUAUAAUUUAGAAAGUUAAAAAGCGAAGCAGUUUUGUACUCUGCACAUACUAUACCAAAAUAAUCAUAACUAAUAGCUCGUUAACUCAAAUAACACAAGGUUUUCGCGUGGACAAACUAGACUCCGAGUAGAACAUUCCCAUCCUAUACCCACUAUACAAAAUAAGGGACAAGCAGUCACGAUAUACCAUAACAGAACAGGACAGUGCAGAUUCCAGUUCAUAUCAAUUUCACUACUAAACAACUCAUAUAACUGCAUAAAAUUGUAUAUAUAACUGAUUUAAAUCAACACUAACAAUUCACAAAACCCCAACACAACACAAACGAGUUAUACGCAUAUACAUACAUGGGGACCCUACAUACAUACAUACAUAACUAAUAGAGGAGACAAUUCGAGAUAUACCCAAUCAGAAUAAUCAAAGAAAGGGUGGACUGCUGGCCAGAAAACGGAGUUAAUUGGCCGAAGAAUUGAAGGACAACUACUGGCUUCGAGCAGAGUAAAAACGGAGGACAUAGCAGCGGUGGUGGAGAUUGGCAGCGGCUGGAAAUCACGGCGAAGUCUGGAGGCAGUGAAUUUAAAGGUGAAAGAUGGAAACGGAAAGGUGUGUAGGGAUGUAGCGAUCGUCUCGGUGGAGUUGAGGGAGAGAGGCGGUGAGGUCGAGAGAUUAACAGAGGGGUUGAUACGUGGCACAAAACAAGAAAAAGGGUGUGAGCACCUGUUAUUAUCACAAUUAGCCCACUAUAGUUCAAUUGCUCACUAAUCACUUAUAUUAUAUCCUUU
rnacentral:lncRNA from 1 species